GCGGAAUUCAGCCCGCAUCCCUGCGUUUUCCAUGGGAAAGAAAUCCGCGAGGUAUGAGGUCGGGAGCGCUUCCCCGUCCCUCUCCCUCGGCUCUCGACGCCGCUAUCUUCGCUCGCGAGUCACAACGCAUGGGCGAGACCGCCGCCGCCGCCGCCCAUGCGACCUCCAUCUCCGCCAUCAUGUCUGCGUAUGAGAUCACCACCACGAUGCCGGCACCUGCGUCUUCGCAGGUUAGUCCGCCUCCACCCGCAUCUCCUCCCCCAAGUCCACCACGAAUGAGAUCCCCGCUGCCGCUGCCGUGGAUCCACCCCCGCCCCCUGCGUCAUCACACCUGCUGCGCCUCCUUCGCGAGCCAGGACCUCGGCUGCUGCUUCGGGACUCCAGCACCUUCGCUUCCGCCAGCAUCCCCUUGCCCGCUAGGGUUUCUCCUCACCUCACACCAAUUCUUGUAGGUAUUGGGAAGGAAGAUCUGCAGACCUGCGGCCACAAGCAGAGGACGACCAAAGAGAUUUGGUCCUGGGCGUGGGUGUUGACUUGGUACUGUGGUAGUGACGAGACACUAUCCGUGCCAUGGCAAAGAUGGCUUCAAGUUCGAAUUGCAUUUUCUUGUUUGGUGCUGCUGAUGGUUGUGGUGGGCGUGAUGGUGCAGUCGGUAUUCAGCGCUCUGCAGCUGACCUUGGGCUUGAAGAAGAGUGAACUGGAAGGACGGCCUUUGUCAAGGUGCCGUCGUCAAGGCUGCACCAUGGUGGCCAUAUUUUGUUGUGGCCCUAUGAGUCUGUGUAGGCCUUGUAUACACAGCAUCGAUAACGAUUGCACUGUGAACUGUUGGUGGCUGCACCCGUGGCCGCGCACUGGUUGAUGGAGAGGGUGUAUCAUUAAACAGCUACCAGCAAUGAGACUUCUUCAGAGGUUGAUGUUCUUGCCUUGCAGAUGAAUUAGAAAAAUGAGAACAGUAGUGGUGGACAGGACUGUGAAAUUUAAACUUUUUUUUUCAUCUUCCAUGUUUUCUAGUGUUAGCAAUGAUAUAUGACAAGUUUAUCAUGGUCUUUAUUUUUUUCUGAAUUUUUCUUGAUCUUUUGAAGCUUUGUAAUUUUGCCUUGCAUGAGCUUGUUUAGAAGUAAAUGGCCUGAGCGUAGCAAAUGACGCCAACAGUGUUAGACCAACACAUGCUCGUAUUGGGUGUUAGCUGUUGGUUUUCUCGCUA